rnacentral:rRNA from 1 species
AGUGAACGCUGGCGGUAGGCCUAACACAUGCAAGUCGAACGGCAGCACAGUAAGAGCUUGCUCUUACGGUUGGCGAGUGGCGGACGGGUGAGGAAUACAUCGGAAUCUACUUUUUCGUGGGGGAUAACGUAGGGAAACUUACGCUAAUACCGCAUACGACCUACGGGUGAAAGCAGGGGAUCUUCGGACCUUGCGCGAUUGAAUGAGCCGAUGCCGGAUUAGCUAGUUGGCGGGGUAAAGGCCCACCAAGGCGACGAUCCGUAGCUGGUCUGAGAGGAUGAUCAGCCACACUGGAACUGAGACACGGUCCAGACUCCUACGGGAGGCAGCAGUGGGGAAUAUUGGACAAUGGGCGCAAGCCUGAUCCAGCCAUACCGCGUGGGUGAAGAAGGCCUUCGGGUUGUAAAGCCCUUUUGUUGGGAAAGAAAAUCAGCAGGUUAAUACCCCGCUGUUCUGACGGUACCCAAAGAAUAAGCACCGGCUAACUUCGUG